rnacentral:rRNA from 1 species
AUUGAACGCUGGCGGCAUGCCUUACACAUGCAAGUCGAACGGCAGCGGGGGGGAAGCUUGCUUUUCCUGCCGGCGAGUGGCGAACGGGUGAGUAAUACAUCGGAACGUGCCCUGUAGUGGGGGAUAACUAGUCGAAAGAUUAGCUAAUACCGCAUACGACCUGAGGGUGAAAGUGGGGGACCGCAAGGCCUCAUGCUAUAGGAGCGGCCGAUGUCUGAUUAGCUAGUUGGUGGGGUAAAGGCCUACCAAGGCGACGAUCAGUAGCUGGUCUGAAGGGACGAUCAGCCACACUGGGACUGAGACACGGCCCAGACGCCGACGGGAGGCAGCAGUGGGGAAUUUUGGACAAUGGGCGAAAGCCUGAUCCAGCAAUGCCGCGUGUGUGAAGAAGGCCUUCGGGUUGUAAAGCUCUUUUGUCCGGAAAGAAAUGGCUCUGGUUAAUACCUGGGGUCGAUGACGGUACCGGAAGAAUAAGGACCGGCUAACUACGUGCCAGCCGCCGCAGUAA